UACGUAGGCAGCGAGCGUUGUUCGGAGUUACUGGGCGUAAAGGGUGCGUAGGCGGGUCUUUUAAGUCAGGGGUGAAAUCCUGGAGCUCAACUCCAGAAUUGCCUUUGAUACUGAAGAUCUUGAGUUCGGGAGAGGUGAGUGGAACUGCGAGUGUAGAGGUGAAAUUCGUAGAUAUUCGCAAGAACACCAGUGGCGAAGGCGGCUCACUGGCCCGAUACUGACGCUGAGGCACGAAAGCGUGGGGAGCAAACAGG
rnacentral:rRNA from 1 species